GAGCGCCAGAAACAGACUGUUGCUGUUCCGUCUGUGUUCUGUGUGUAUAACUGAAGGUUGCACUAGUUUGGUCUUGAAUUUUGAGUGCGUAGUCUUUUUUUCAUAAAACCCGAAGCUCGUCUACACGAUCAAAUCAGGAGACAUUGCCCCUAAACUAUCGGACUGAUUCGGAGAGUGCCUCUGUUCCACUAAAUUAAGACUAAAAGGUCAGCCUUCUGUGUACGCACAGAACAUGGAUGACAUCAUCCGCACAGUCUUUACGGCUGUGCUAUGGACCCUUGCCUCAUCCCACGAAGACCACAAAAACAUCACAAUUGAAUCUGGACAGAACCUCACUCUGCCAUGUCGAGUUUCAAACAUGUCCUUCAUAGCCAUAGAGUGGAGCAGAUUUGACUUAAAGCCAGAAUAUGUACUUUUAAGCCGUGACGGGCACUUUGACCCACACAACCAGCAUUUAUCUUUUAUGAAUCGAGUUGAUCUGCAGGAAAGAAAGAUGAAGGAUGGAGACGUGUCUUUGAUUCUGAAGGACGUGACGACUGAUGACACUGGAACAUACGAGUGUCGUGUCUUCAUGGAAGAAACACGCUCAUGGAAAUCCAUCAGCAUCAUCUACCUGAGAGCUGUUGUUCCUCCAGGUCCGCCAGUAGAGAAUCGACCUGUGGGACUGAUCAUUGGAGUCAUCGUUGGUCUGUCAGCUGUGCUGAUUUUUGUGGCCUGUCUCAUCUAUAAAAAUCCCGAAAAAAGACAAAACAUAUUUCUUGUUCCAUCUUGUCACGAACGGAUACGACAUUGUUUCUGUAGACGAACAGGGGCUCAUGUAACAUCGGCAGUAAUAUAAUUUCCCUUCCCCUUCCCCUUUCAUCCCCCUUCUUGAAUUGCCACCUUAUCGUGGUGGAGGGGUUUGUGAGCUCAGACGAUCCUGGGAGCUGAGUUGUCUGGAGCGUUCAGCUCCUGGUAGGGUCUCCCAUGACAAACAGGUCCCAGGUGAUGAGCCAGACUAAGAGCAAUUCAAAAAAACAUUGUCCUGUUUGUACCAAUCAUGUGGACAACAGCUAAAUCUGAUUUAGCGACUUAGUGUUACCUAAGACAUGAUUGCGUAUUAUAAAAACCUGUGAUAAUGAAAGGACAAUAUGUAACUGUUAAAUGUAAUAAAAUGAGUUAGACUUGAAACACGAGACCACAGAGUUCUGUGUGAACACACCAACAUGUUGGCUGGUGUGGACCAGGUAAAGACAACAUGUACUCAUACAAAUAUCAAAGAUGAGUAGCUCAAUUACAUUUUAUGCAAAGGACAAGUACUCCAGCUGGCUUCUGUUGUUACCUGGUGUUACUUAAAUAUAAUUGUAUUGACAGUAUUUGAAUUUACUGACACAACUUCUUUUUUUUACUGUUUACACGUCAAAUCUGUAUCAGGUAUCCUGUAAAUUCAGCUGUCAUAAUAACAGCACUGAAGGUAAAACAGCUUUCUAUAGACUGGGACACUUCAGGCUAAAUUAUGUGUUCACUGCAUCUAAAAAAACAAUAAUGAUGCUAAUGAUUAUUACUGUGUUUAUUAUCAGGUGAUUUGUAUGUUUAUGCCAUUAAAAGAUGGAAUCAAAAUACUUCUAAUGGCAUUUAUUGUACAGUUUUAUUUAUGUUUUAUUGUUGCUGUGCACUGAAAGCAGCAGUUUGGGAAUCAGAUUGUUGUUUAAAAUGAACUUGAUGCAAAAGUGUUUUUCUCUUCAGUACUUUGUGUGAUCCUGAUACUGACUGUGAUCAGUGUGACUGGAGCCAUGGUUGGUUUUCUGUCCUGCAGAACUGUUAAUAAAAGCUGUUUGUUGCA